CAGACCAACCAGCCCAAGGAACAUCUCACUAAUUUUAAAUCAGAUAUUCUCGGCAAAUGGCUGAAGACUGAGGCUGCCCCAUCGCCUCGGAUGCCUCCUGGACCAUCACAGACGCUUUGGGUAACUCUUACGGUGGAGGAUAAGAAACCCAAGGCGUAGAGAGGCCCUGUAAUUUGCUCAAGAACAAGAAGCUACUACGUCUGAAAUCUUAUCCUUCUGACCCCUCGAUCCGGGUCUUUGCACAGGAGAAAGGUUGUUAUCAGUGUCAGGAAACCCGUAAUCCUACAGCCAGCUGUGAAGAUUCCAGAAUGCCUUUCACUUUACAGGUGAGGAACUAGAGGGCCCCUCUGGAAAGCUUAUGAACACCCUGACUCCAGAGCUCACCCUCCCGCACUGGGAAGGAAAGUCCCUCUUUUCACUUUGUCACUCCCACGCACCUCCCAAGGCACCCACAGCAUGGUCACUCUUCGAUGACUGUUUGUAUUGUAAGUGGCUCCUCCAACUCUGUUCCACAGUCCCUCCAUGGAUGCCCUGGAGGAGGCAGGCGGGACAGGUCCCAUUUUACAGAUGGCCAAAGGGAUGAGUGACUACACAGCUCAUCCCAGGAGAGCCACCUGGCCACGCUUCCUGAUA